rnacentral:rRNA from 1 species
GACGAACGCUGGCGGCGUGCUUAACACAUGCAAGUCGAGCGGUAAGGCCCUUUCGGGGGUACACGAGCGGCGAACGGGUGAGUAACACGUGGGUGACCUGCCCUCAGCUCUGAGAUAAGCCUGGGAAACCGGGUCUAAUACCGGAUAUGACUCCAUGACGCAUGUUGUGGGGUGGAAAGCCUUGUGCGGCUGAGGAUGGGCCCGCGGCCUAUCAGCUUGUUGGUGGGGUGANGGCCUACCAAGGCGACGACGGGUAGCCGGCCUGAGAGGGCGACCGGCCACACUGGGACUGAGACACGGCCCAGACUCCUACGGGAGGCAGCAGUGGGGAAUCUUGCGCAAUGGGCGAAAGCCUGACGCAGCGACGCCGCGUGAGGGAUGACGGCCU